CUGCAUCAAAAUAAAAAACAAGCGGUGCUUAUGAAAAUUGAUAUAUCCAAAGCCUUCGAUACUCUCUCCUGGGGGUUUCUGUUGCAAGUGUUAAAGGCCAGAGGUUUUGGGGACAGGUGGUGCUCGUGGAUUUGUGUUUUGCUGAGAUCUUCCUCUUCUUCGGUGCUUAUCAAUGGGGAGCUCAGCGACUCAUUCGCUCUGGGGCAGGGUGUUCGUCAAGGGGACCCACUGUCCCCGGCUCUGUUUAUUCUUGCCAUGGAUGUGCUUCAAGGAAUGCUUCGAUGGGCUGACCAGCGGAGGGUACUGUCGGACUUCGGUUUGGGCUCUGAGGUGCCCAGGGCCUCCAUUUUUGCUGAUGAUGUGGUAAUCUUCUUCAGGCCACACACAAACGACCUACAGGCAAUUUCUGCCAAACUCCAACUCUUCGGACAAGCUUUUGGUCUGCACAUUAAUCUUCACAAAAGCUCUACCACAUGA
rnacentral:rRNA from 1 species